GAGUUUGAUCCUGGCUCAGAACGUACGCUGGCGGCACGCCUAACACAUGCAAGUCGAACGAAGUAGCAAUACUUAGUGGCAGACGGGUGAGUAACAUGUGGGUAUCUUCCCUUUGGCCUGGAAUAACACGAGGAAACUUGUGCUAAUACCGGAUAAGUCUUUACAGAGAAAGCUUUAUGCACCAUUGGAUGAGCCCGCACUUGAUUAGUUUGUUGGUGGGGUAAUGGCCUACCAAGACUGUGAUCAAUAGCUGAUUUGAGAGGAUGAUCAGCCACAUUGGGACUGAGACACGGCCCAAACUCCUACGGGAGGCAGCAGUGGGGAAUCUUGCACAAUGGAGGAAACUCUGAUGCAGCGAUGCCGCGUGAGUGAAGAAGGCCUUUGGGUUGUAAAGCUCUUUCGUCGGGGAAGAAAAUGACUGUACCCGAAUAAGAAGGUCCGGCUAACUUCGUGCCAGCAGCCGCGGUAAUACGAAGGGACCUAGCGUAGUUCGGAAUUACUGGGCUUAAAGAGUUCGUAGGUGGUUGAAAAAGUUGGUGGUGAAAUCCCAGAGCUUAACUCUGGAACUGCCAUCAAAACUUUUCAGCUAGAGUUUGAUAGAGGAAAGCAGAAUUUUUAGUGUAGAGGUGAAAUUCGUAGAUAUUAGAAAGAAUACCGAUUGCGAAGGCAGCUUUCUGGAUCAUUACUGACACUGAGGAACGAAAGCAUGGGUAGCGAAGAGGAUUAGAUACCCUCGUAGUCCAUGCCGUAAACGAUGUGUGUUAGACGUUGGAAAUUUAUUUUCAGUGUCGCAGCAAAAGCGAUAAACACACCGCCUGGGGAGUACGACCGCAAGGUUAAAAACUCAAAUGAAUUGACGGGGACCCGCACAAGUAGUGGAGCAUGUGGUUUAAUUCGAAGAUACGCGCAGAACCUUACCAACACUUGACAUGUUCGUCGCGACUUUAAGAGAUUAAAGUUUUCGGUUCGGCCGGACGAAACACAGGUGCUGCAUGGCUGUCGUCAGCUCGUGUCGUGAGAUGUUGGGUUAAGUCCCGCAACGAGCGCAACCCUCACUUUUAGUUGCCAUCAUUAAGUUGGGCACUCUGAAAGAACUGCCAGUGAUAAGCUGGAGGAAGGUGGGGAUGACGUCAAGUCCUCAUGGCCCUUACGUGUUGGGCUACACACGUGCUACAAUGGUAUCUACAACAGGAAGCAAGACGGCGACGUUUAGCAAAUCCUUAAAAGAUACCUCAGUUCGGAUUGCACUCUGCAACUCGAGUGCAUGAAGCUGGAAUUACUAGUAAUCGUGGAUCAGCGUGCCACGGUGAAUGCGUUCCCGGGUCUUGUACUCACCGCCCGUC
rnacentral:rRNA from 1 species